UACGGGGGGGGCAAGCGUUGUUCGGAAUUACUGGGCGUAAAGGGCUCGUAGGCGGCCAACUAAGUCAGACGUGAAAUCCCUCGGCUUAACCGGGGAACUGCGUCUGAUACUGGAUGGCUUGAGUUCGGGAGAGGGAUGCGGAAUUCCAGGUGUAGCGGUGAAAUGCGUAGAUAUCUGGAGGAACACCGGUGGCGAAGGCGGCGAUCCUGGAC
rnacentral:rRNA from 1 species